GAUGAAGAACGUAGCGAAAUGCGAUAAGUAAUGUGAAUUGCAGAAUUCAGUGAAUCAUCGAAUCUUUGAACGCACAUUGCGCCCGCCAGCACUCUGGCGGGCAUGCCUGUUCGAGCGUCAUUUCAACCAUCAAGCCCCAGGCUUGUGUUGGGGACCUGCGGCUGCCGCAGGCCCUGAAAACCAGUGGCGGGCUCGCUGUCACACCGGGCGUAGUAGAUUUUAUCUCGCUCAGGGCGUGCUGCGGGUUCCGGCCGUUAAAAAGCCUUUUUUACCCAAGGUUGACCUCGGAUCAGGUAGGAAUACCCGCUGAACUUAAGCAUAUCAAUAAGCGGAGGA
rnacentral:misc_RNA from 1 species